rnacentral:lncRNA from 1 species
GAUGGAGAGUUGCGCUGUCUGCUGUGUGGUGCGUCGUUUGGACCACAGGGGGUCACAGCUGUCCUCUGUGUGCAGUGCAAAAAACAUAUGUGUACCAAGUGUGGAAUUUCAAGCAACAGCAGGACAUGCCCUGUGUGGCUGUGCCAGAUCUGCAAUGAACAGCUAGAGGUACAGAAGCGUUCAGGAGCUUGGUUCUUUAAAGGAAGAGAGCAACUGGGUCUGCCUGCACCGCUUCCUCUGUCCAGACCUCGACAGUCGAACACAGAAAACUGCACUACUCCAGCAGGCUACAGUGGAUCACAUCGGGGAUACGAGCGUAGUACAGAGCCACAGCAGCACAAGUCUUUUGGAUCAGAACAAUGGGUACAGACAGCAAAAACAACAGCUGACAGUUGUAAUGAGGGUCAUUCCCAUCCAGCCGGUGUAAUGAAGACAGAGAGACAUGUGUCAGCCUCCAAACCACCUCAGGCGAACACAGAGCACACAACCCCUAACUCAGUACCUGCUGCAGGUAUGGAGAACCAUCACGCGGAAAGACAAGAAACAUUGCCCCCUCCAGCUGUGGAGGAAAAAAGACCACCUGUUGUCUCUGGCUCUGUUUCAUCUCAUAAGCCUGUCUCCAGAGUUGGUCCACCUGUUAACCCACCUGCCAACAACCCUGCUCCUUCCAGACCCCCACCAGAUCGAAC